AUUGAACGCUGGCGGCAGGCCUAACACAUGCAAGUCGAGCGAGCGGCGGACGGGUUAGUAAUGUCUGGGAAACUGCCCGAUGGAGGGGGAUAACUACUGGAAACGGUAGCUAAUACCGCAUACCAUCGGAUGUGCCCAGAUGGGAUUAGCUAGUGGGUGGGGUAAUGGCCCACCUAGGCGACGAUCCCUAGCUGGUCUGAGAGGAUGACCAGCCACACUGGAACGGGGACACGGUCCAGACUCCAACGGGAGGCGGCAGUGGGGAAUAUUGCACAAUGGGCGAAAGCCUGAUGCAGCAAUGCCGGGUGUAUGAAGAAGGCCUUCGGGUUGUAAAGUACUUUCAGCGGGGAGGCGUUACCCGCAGAAGAAGCACCGGCUAACUCCGUGCCAGCGGCCGCGGUAUUC
rnacentral:rRNA from 1 species